rnacentral:lncRNA from 1 species
GGCGUUUCGCAGCUUCCUUAUUAUCUUUUCUGCGUUUGUAUUCCACUUCAUAUUACCGUCCAUCCAGAUUCCCAAAAACUUAUACGAAGUAACCCUUUCAAUUGUUCUCAAUUCUCGUUAGUGGUAUAGCCGCUUUGUUUCUUCUUAAAUCGAUCAACAUUUCUUUACAUUUCUUGAGGUUAAGUUCCAUUUUUUGUUGUUUCGUAAAGUUCAUGACUUCCG